CGGAAAUGCUUCCGGGCGCGUGCGCCGUCUUACCCUUGCAGAACGGUUUCUCUGCAGCGCCUUCUAGGGGAAGGUUAUCUCAUGCUUCUUCCUCACUGGAAUUUUGCCUGACAUCCCCAAACAUCUAAAUGCUUUAUCAACCAGAACAUAUACCCCUGGGCUGCUCCAGAUGUAAACUUUCUUGUGGAAAUACCUCGGAGUUUGAAAAUGUCAAUACAGGUCUUCUGGCUGGUCCAAGAUUUAAACUGACAUGAGGCAGAUUAACAGGAGAAGAUCAAACAAAGGCAGAUGCCCUGGUAAGAAACCCACUGGUAGAGAAGAAAGCGAAAGCCCCUUCCAUGUGUCAUCUUCUGGAACACUGCAGAACAAACAUUGUGGCAUAAAUCACUCCAAAUUCAUCAGUUCUGGCGUACCAUCAAAGAAGAAGAAAGAUUUCUAAUGGGAUGUUUUACCUCUAGAUGCAUGACUAAUCAUGUGGUUGCCCACUGACAUCUGACAUCAUAUUGAUUCAAGGAGGUUGGAGAGGACUGUCUGCUGGGUUGACCACGAGCAACAUCCACCAUGCCUCCUACGCACGCUCCCUUCCCUGCCUGCCGUCUCCCCACAUGCCUCAUCUGCAACCUGUGCCUCUGAUCUUUGUUUUCUUCCAGAGGUCAGAAUCCCCAGUACACUGGUAGUUCUAAAGGGUUAAGAAGGAACCCCCUACAA